ACUACUGCCAAUUCCAGUACCAGACCACACCAGCACCUCCUCCACCCUCUCCCUCUUCUUCGCUCUACUUCCGAUUUUAUCUGUGCCUCGUUUUCUCUCCAUCUACCUGUCACUUAUCGUUUUCACAACGCUAAACAUUUAUUUUCUCGGAAACCAAACAGAAGAAACAAGCUGAGGCAGCUAUUCUUUUUAUUCUUUCAUUCACCUUAUGAUAGCUUCGUUUCUUUUGCAAUAUGGCUACAGGUUUUGGUAAUUACAGAAAUGGCAAUCACAGUAGCAGAACCUCUCUCAAUAGCACUAGCAAAGUCUCCCUCAACUCAAAUUCCAAGGGUUCUUCUAUUAAAUCCAAGUCCUUGAACAGUUCUGGUCUCCGUAAAAGCGCACCUGCUUCUCUCGGCGCCGCCAAGGACGAUGCUGGAGUUCCUGGAAGAGUUAGGGUAGCUGUAAGAUUGCGGCCUCGAAAUGCAGAGGAAAUGGUGGCAGAUGCUGAUUUUGCUGAUUGUGUAGAAUUACAGCCUGAGGUUAAAAGGUUGAAACUUCGGAAAAACAACUGGGACUCGGAGACCUAUGAGUUUGAUGAAGUGCUCACUGAGUUUGCAUCGCAAAAACGUGUUUACGAGGUUGUAGCAAAGCCCGUUGUAGAGAGUGUUUUGGAUGGAUACAAUGGGACAGUCAUGGCAUAUGGACAGACUGGUACUGGUAAGACAUAUACUCUUGGACGACUUGGAGAGGAAGAUACAGCUGCUCGUGGAAUAAUGGUCCGCGCUAUGGAGGAUAUUUUAGCAGAUGUUUCUCAGGAGACAGAUUCUGUCUGUGUCUCCUAUUUGCAGUUAUAUAUGGAGACUAUACAGGACCUCCUUGAUCCUGCUAAUGAUAACAUUUCUAUAGUGGAAGACCCAAAAACUGGAGAUGUUUCGCUACCAGGGGCUAGCCUAGUUGAAAUUAGGGAUCAGCAGAGUUUUGUGGAACUAUUGCGUUUAGGAGAAGCACACCGCUUUGCUGCAAAUACGAAAUUGAACACUGAAUCUUCUCGUAGCCAUGCUAUUCUAAUGGUACAUGUAAAGAGGUCUGUCAGGGGAAGAGACACUGCACUUUCAGGUGACAAUGGCAACAGCUCCCACACAGUUAAAAGUCUGAAGCCUCCUGUUGUUCGGAAAGGCAAGCUUGUUGUUGUAGAUCUUGCUGGUUCAGAGCGUAUUGAUAAGUCUGGAAGUGAGGGGCAUACACUAGAGGAGGCCAAGUCUAUUAAUCUCUCAUUGAGUGCAUUAGGGAAGUGCAUUAAUGCGCUGGCAGAAAAUAGUCUACAUGUACCAGUUCGUGAUUCAAAGCUUACUAGAUUGCUUAGAGAUUCUUUUGGAGGGACAGCAAGAACUUCACUGGUCAUUACUAUUGGUCCAUCUCCACGGCAUAGAGGAGAGACAGCAAGUACUAUAAUGUUUGGACAAAGGGCAAUGAAGGUGGAGAAUAUGUUGAAAUUAAAGGAAGAAUUCGAUUACAAAAGUUUGGCUAGACGGCUAGAUAUACAAUUGGACAAGCUCAUUGCAGAUCAUGAGAGGCAACAGAAAGCAUUUGAGGAGGAAAUUGAAAGAAUAACAGUAGAGGCACAAAACCAAAUUUCUGAGGUAGAAAGGAACUAUGCAGAUGCAUUAGAGAAUGAAAGAGUAAGAUAUCAGAAAGAGUGUAUGGAUUCAAUAAAGAAGCUAGAAGAGAAAUGGAUGAUAAACCAGCAAAAGCAUGCUAGUGCUGAAAACAUGGUUGGACGCAAAGAUGAUAGUUCUGAUGUGACGUCCAAGGGAGAGGGUUCUGGGGUAGCUGUGGCGGAUGAAGUUGCUGAGCUGAAAACGUUGCUUCAGAAAGAAGCACUUCUGAGGAAGGCUUCUGAAGAGGAAGUUUAUAAUCUUAAAUGUCAACUAGCUCAAUCGAAGAAGUCAGAGGCAUUGGGAAAUUCGGAGAUAUCAAAGCUCCACAAGAUGCUGGAAGAUGAGGCAUGCCAGAAAGAAAAAUUUGAAGGGGAAAUAGCAAUGCUACAAAGUCAAUUGUUACAAAUAAGUUUUGAAGCUGAUGAGACAAGAAGAAGACUUGAUGGGGGUGGGUCUGAGAAAAUUCUUGGUGCUCUAGAUUCUCAAAUGUCUCAACUAAGACAUCCGCAGCUGAAUGAUAUGGGAAAUGGGGAGAAGGCUUCAAUAGCAACACUCUUUGAACAAGUUGGAUUGAAUAGGAUCCUGUCGUUGCUCGAAUCAGAAGACGCUGAUGUUCGAAUUCAUGCUGUGAAAGUUGUAGCAAAUCUAGCAGCUGAAGAAACAAACCAAGAGAAGAUUGUAGAAGCUGGUGGUCUUACCUCUCUGUUGACACUGCUAAGAAGCUCUGAGGAUGAGAGCAUACAUCGAGUAGCAGCUGGUGCAAUUGCUAAUCUUGCAAUGAAUGAAACCAACCAAGAGCUCAUAAUGGCUCAAGGAGGCAUUCGUUUAUUGUCCAUGACAUCAGCCAAUGCUGAGGAUCCUCAAACACUUCGAAUGGUUGCUGGAGCCAUAGCCAAUCUUUGUGGAAAUGAUAAAUUGCAAAUGAAGCUAAGAGGUGAAGGCGGCAUCAAGGCUUUGCUAGGAAUGGUUAAGUGUAGGCAUCCUGACGUUCUAGCACAAGUUGCUCGUGGAAUAGCAAAUUUUGCAAAAUGCGAGUCAAGAGCAUCAACUCAAGUAUUAAUGUUGCAGGAACUAAGAACGGAAAGUCUCUUCUGAUUGCGGAUGGUGCUCUUCCAUGGAUUAUACAGAAUGCUAACAAUGAAGCCUCACAAAUCAGGCGCCAUAUAGAGCUUGCUCUAUGCCACUUAGCUCAACAUGAGGCAAAUGCCAAAGAAAUGAUUAGUGGAGGUGCACUAUGGGAAUUGGUUCGCAUCUCGCGAGACUGUUCAAGGGAAGAUAUAAAGACUCUUGCACAUCGAACCCUAACCUCUAGUCCUACUUUUCAAGCUGAAUUGAGGAGACUACGUGUAGAUUAUUGAAGUUGUGGAUAAUGAUUUAGAAUGGAGCACAUCAGCUUAAAUUAUUUGUUUAUUAUUUUUUCAACUGAAGGUUAAAUUAGUUACAUCUGGAAUCAUUGAUCUCUCCUUCUGACAAGAGCAAGUAGGAAGAUUCUGCUAUGUUCUUGUUGAAAUUUUGUUACCAAGAUGGGUUUGAGUCUGCUAUAGUGGUUGAGCGCAUAUGAAUCCUCCCCGAUUAGUUGAUUAAAUAUAUAUUAACCGUAAUUUGAGUCCAGAUUCCCGUGUAGCUUGUAGUUAUCCAAUAAUUUCUUUGUAUAUGACUCGAAUAGAGAAACACUAACAUCCUAGCAUUUCUUGUAAAGAAAAAAAAAAUCAGAUUAAUAUUUGGUAAAUGCUCUUAUGUAAUUCGGGAUUUCAGUGCCUUUCUUA